rnacentral:rRNA from 1 species
CAGUGGGGAAUAUUGGACAAUGGGCGAAAGCCUGAUCCAGCCAUGCCGCGUGUGUGAAGAAGGUCUUCGGAUUGUAAAGCACUUUAAGUUGGGAGGAAGGGCAGUUACCUAAUACGUGAUUGUUUUGACGUUACCGACAGAAUAAGCACCGGCUAACUCUGUGCCAGCAGCCGCGGUAAUACAGAGGGUGCAAGCGUUAAUCGGAAUUACUGGGCGUAAAGCGCGCGUAGGUGGUUUGUUAAGUUGGAUGUGAAAUCCCCGGGCUCAACCUGGGAACUGCAUUCAAAACUGACUGACUAGAGUGUGGUAGAGGGUGGUGGAAUUUCCUGUGUAGCGGUGAAAUGCGUAGAUAUAGGAAGGAACACCAGUGGCGAAGGCGACCACCUGGACCAACAC